GUAGUGACGAAAAAUAACGAUACGGGACUCAUCCGAGGCCCCGUAAUCGGAAUGAGUACACUUUAAAUCCUUUAACGAGGAUCCAUUGGAGGGCAAGUCUGGUGCCAGCARCCGCGGUAAUUCCAGCUCCAAUAGCGUAUAUUAAAGUUGUUGCGGUUAAAAAGCUCGUAGUUGAAUCUGUGUGUCACGAUGUUGGUUCACCGCUCGCGGUGUUAAACUGGCAUGCCGUGAGACGUCCUACCGGUGGGCUUAGCUCCUCACGGGGCGGUCCAACUAAUAUCCCAUCGCGGUGCUCUUCAUCGAGUGUCGAGGUGGGCCGGUACGUUUACUUUGAACAAAUUAGAGUGCUUAAAGCAGGCUAUCCUCGCCUGAAUACUGUGUGCAUGGAAUAAUGGAAUAGGACCUCGGUUCUAUUUUGUUGGUUUUCGGAACCCCGAGGUAAUGAUUAAUAGGGACAGAUGGGGGCAUUCGUAUUGCGACGUUAGAGGUGAAAUUCUUGGAUCGUCGCAAGACGGACAGAAGCGAAAGCAUUUGCCAAAAAUGUUUUCAUUAAUCAAGAACGAAAGUUAGAGGUUCGAAGGCGAUCAGAUACCGCCCUAGUUCUAACCAUAAACGAUGCCAGCUAGCGAUCCGCCGAAGUUCCUCCGAUGACUCGGCGGGCAGCUUCCGGGAAACCAAAGCUUUUGGGUUCCGGGGGAAGUAUGGUUGCAAAGCUGAAACUUAAAGGAAUUGACGGAASGGCACCACCAGGAGUGGAGCCUGCGGCUUAAUUUGACUCAACACGGGAAACCUCACCAGGCCCGGACACCGGAAGGAUUGACAGAUUGAUAGCUCU
rnacentral:rRNA from 1 species